rnacentral:rRNA from 1 species
AACGAACGCUGGCGGCAUGCCUAACACAUGCCAGUCGAACGAGACCUUCGGGUCUAGUGGCGCACGGGUGCGUAACGCGUGGGAACCUGCCCUUAGGUUCGGAAUAACUCCCCGAAAGGGGUGCUAAUACCGGAUAAUGUCUUCGGACCAAAGAUUUAUCGCCUUUGGAUGGGCCCGCGUUGGAUUAGCUAGUUGGUAGGGUAAAAGCCUACCAAGGCGACGAUCCAUAGCUGGUCUGAGAGGAUGAUCAGCCACACUGGGACUGAGACACGGCCCAGACUCCUACGGGAGGCAGCAGUGGUGAAUAUUGGACAAUGGGCGAAAGCCUGAUCCAGCAAUGCCGCGUGAGUGAUGAAGGCCUUAGGGUUGUAAAGCUCUUUUACCCGGGAUGAUAAUGACAGUACCGGGAGAAUAAGCUCCGGCUAACUCCGUG